GGAUUGUGGCUCAGCGGUAGAGCACUUGCCUAGCAUGUGUGAGGCACUGGGUUCGAUUCUCAGCACCA
rnacentral:tRNA from 1 species